AGUAGCAGGACCACCGUGGAGAGAACAGUCACGUAGCAGGCACAACUUUUCCGGGUUUAAAGGAAAAAAAAAAAAAAAAAAACUUGUCUCUACACCUCUAUUCCCAGGAGGAGCUCACUGUCUGGCCCCAAGCUCCCUGGGGUGAGUUUUCUUCUAGAAGAGUCCAGGGGAACAGGUAAGGAGUGGGAGGCAGGGAACCCAGUUCUGGGAUGGGGAUUCCGGGAUGAAAACUGAAGAAGGAUGGGGCCCAUGACGAGGGUUUCUCCCUGGUUUCUCAGACGGUUCUUGGGCCAAGACUGAGGGAGACAUUGAGACAGAGGCUUGGCACAGGAGGAGCAGGGUCAGGGCGAAGUCCAUGGCCCCAGGCGUGGCUCUCAGGGUCUCAGGCCCCAAAGGCUGAGUAUUGAUUGGGGAGGCCCAGCGUUGGAGAUUCCCCGUCUCCGCAGAGUUUCUCUUCUCCCUCUCCCAACCUAUGUAGGGUCCUUCUUCCUGGAUACUCACGAUUUGGACUCAUUUCUCACUCUCAUUUGGUGUCGGGUUUCUAGAGAAGCCAAUCAGCGUCGGGGGUCCCUGUUCUGAAGUCCCCGCGAAAGCAUUGGGACCCAGAUUCUCCCCAGACCCCAAGGAGUGGGUCAUGGCGUCCCGAACCCUCCUCCUACUGCUCUCGGGGACCCUGGCCCUGACCGAGACCUGGGAGGGUUCCCACUCCAUGAGGUAUUUCAGCACCGCCUUGUCCCGGCCCGGCCGCGGGGGGCCCCGCUUCAUCGCCGUGGGCUACGUGGACGACACGCAGUUCCUGCGGUUCGACAGCGACGCGGCGAGUCCGAGGAUGGAGCCGCGGGCGCCGUGGGUGGAGCAGGAGCGGCCGGAGUAUUGGGAAGAGGAGACACGGAACACCAAGGCCCACGCACAGACUGACAGAGUGAACCUGCGGACCCUGCUCGGCUACUACAACCAGAGCGAGGCCGGGUCUCACACCUUCCAGAUAAAGGAUGGCUGAGACUUGGGGCUGGAGGGGCUCCUCCUCCGCGGUUAUGAACAGCACACCAAAGAUGGCAAGGAUUACAUCGCACUGAACGGGGACCUGCGCUCCUGGACCACAGCAGACACGGCUGCUCAGAUCACCAAGCGCAAGUGGGAGGCAGGGGAAUUUGCAAAGCAGGUCAGGGCCUACCUGGAGGGCCGGUGCGUGGGGUGGCUCCGCAGACACCAGGAAAACAGGAAGGAGACGCUGCAGCGUGCGGACCCGCCCCGCAAGACACAUGUGACCCAUCAUCCUGUCUCUGACUAUAAGGCCACCCUGAGGUGCUGGCCCUGGGCUUCUACCCUGUGAAGAUCACACUGACCUGGCAGCGGGAUGGGGAGGACCAGACUCAGGACAUGGAGCUUGUAGAGACCAGGCCCGCAGGGAAUGGAACCUUCCAGAAGUGGGCAGCUGUGGUGGUGCCUUCUGGAGAGGAACAGAGAUAUAUGUGCCAUGUACAGCAUGAAGCAUUGCUCGAGCCCCUCACCCUGAGAUGUAGUAAGUCUUCUCAGCCCACCAUCCCCAUCAUGGGCAUCUUUGCUGGCCUGGUUCUCCUUGGAGCUGUAGUCACUGGAGCUGGGGUCCCUGCUGUGAUGUGGAGGAAGAAGAGCUCAAAUAGAAACAGAGUGAUCUACUCUCAAGCUGCACGCAGCAACUGUGCCCAGUGUUCUGAUGUGUCUCUCAUGGCUUGUAAAAAUGAGACCCUGGGGGGCCUGAUGUAUGUGGGGUGUUCAGGGGAACAGUGGAUGCAGCUGUGCUAUGGGGUUUCUUCGAGUUGGAUGUAUUGA